GACAGGGGUCUCAAGCGUUAAUCGGAAUCACUGGGCUUAAAGGGUGCGUAGGCGGGCCUGUAAGUGUCCUGUGAAAUCCCCCGGCUCAACCGGGGAACUGCGUGGCAUACUGCGGGUCUUGAGGAAGGUAGGCGCCGAGGGAACAGUAGGUGGAGCGGUGAAAUGCGUAGAUAUCUACUGGAACGCCGAUGGUGAAGACGCUCGGCUGGGCCUUUCCUGACGCUGAGGCACGAAAGCGUGGGGAGCAAACAGG
rnacentral:rRNA from 1 species